rnacentral:lncRNA from 1 species
GCAGCAGUAGGACUGACUGGAGCCAUUGUACAGUGUCGGGAACACACCAGGACACUGAGAAUAGCGUCAUGUCAUAAAAACUCAGAGCAGAUGGACCCUGCUGUGAUGCACAAAGAGGACUAUGCAAGAUAUGAUAAAGAUCUAUGUCACUGAAUUUUUGGUUCUAUAUUUGUAUCUCAGCUUCCUGGAAAUAAAAAAGAAUUCUAACAUUCAUACUUUCAGUAUUUUAUGUGAGAGGUUUUGUUGUCAAAAUCAAGUCUGAGAGCAAUGUUUAUUGGGGCCUUUAAUUGGAGUCACCAAGCGAUAAAGGGGACAUUGUCUUCAACAAUAACCCUGUAAUAAACACGUUUUGGACAAUAAAUAUAUGACAAUUUCUUAAAAGCAAUUUCUUGGGCAAUCAAGACAAUAUGGCUUGAGUAUGGAGUUAUAUGAUGGUCUGGAUUAAUCAAGUAUUAAAUCUCUGGUUAUUACAGAAAUCAAUGGAGACUAUUCUUCCAAAUAAUCCUUAAAUAUUACUUAUCUCAACUGAGAUUUUGGUGAAAAUUUAGCUUUAGAGCUUUUAUUGACCUGCCAGUGACCUGAAGUUAAGAUUAUUCUUUUCUACUGAAUGAAGACAAACCACCUUAUACAAAUCAACCCAGAAGGCUGUAGAGGGAUGAAAUGGGAUUUUGUUGGCGCCAAGACCUGAUUGCUUUGCCAGUUACCCUCACCCCUGGCUCACGAGGAAAGUGUAUUGAGGAGAUUCUCGAGGAACCACAUGAGUUUUAAUAUCAUAAGCUUCUGUCCUGAAUUGAAAGCCUACAUCAUCCUGUGCAUUUCACAAAAUCUUAAUGAAAACUACACGAAGCUCAAAGUAUAGAUAAACAUAUCAGUGUUGACAACCGUGAAACCACACUAUCCAAAGGCUACGAGCUCUGAGGAAUUCCUGUUAGCG